UACCAGCACCCCGAGUGGUCGGGACGAUUAUUGGGCCUAAAGCAUCCGUAGCCGGCCUUACAAGUCCUCCGUUAAAUCCAGCUGCUUAACAGAUGGGCUGCGGAGGAUACUAUAGGGCUAGGAGGCGGGAGAGGCAAGCGGUACUCAGUGGGUAGGGGUAAAAUCCUCUGAUCCAUUGAAGACCACCAGUGGCGAAGGCGGCUUGCCAGAACGCGCUCGACGGUGAGGGAUGAAAGCUGGGGGAGCAAACCGG
rnacentral:rRNA from 1 species